rnacentral:rRNA from 1 species
UACGUAGGGGGCUAGCGUUGUCCGGAAUCAUUGGGCGUAAAGAGCGCGCAGGCGGCUUGGUAAGUCGGAUGUGAAAUCCCGAGGCUCAACCUCGGGUCUGCAUCCGAUACUGCCCGGCUAGAGGUAGGUAGGGGAGAUCGGAAUUCCUGGUGUAGCGGUGAAAUGCGCAGAUAUCAGGAGGAACACCGGUGGCGAAGGCGGAUCUCUGGGCCUUACCUGACGCUCAGGCGCGAAAGCUAGGGGAGCGAACUGG